rnacentral:rRNA from 1 species
GACGGGGGAUGCAAGCGUUAUCCGGAAUCACUGGGCGUAAAGCGUCUGCAGGUGGUGAUGCAAGUCACUGGUGCAAAACUCUGGCUCAACCGGAGGAAAGCCAGUGAAACUGCAUGACUAGAGUGUGGGAGAGGUAGAAGGAAUUCCCUGAGUAGCGGUGAAAUGCGUAGAUACAGGGAAGAACACCGGAGGCGAAAGCGUUCUACUGGAACACAACUGACACGGAGAGCCGAAAGCUAGGGGAGCGAAUGGG